AUAUUGGCCAGAGACCGAUAGCGCACAAGUAGAGUGAUCGAAAGAUGAAAAGCACUUUGGAAAGAGAGUCAAACAGCACGUGAAAUUGUUGAAAGGGAAGCGCUUGCAGCCAGACUUGCUUGCAGUUGCUCAUCCGGGCUUUUGCCCGGUGCACUCUUCUGCAGGCAGGCCAGCAUCAGUUUGGGCGGUAAGAUAAAGGUCUCUGUCACGUACCUCUCUUCGGGGAGGCCUUAUAGGGGAGACGACAUAUUACCAGCCUGGACUGGGGUCCGCGCAUCUGCUAGGAUGCUGGCGUAAUGGCUGUAAGCGGCCCGUCUUGAAACACGGACC
rnacentral:rRNA from 1 species